UACAGAGGGUGCGAACGUUGUUCGGAAUCACUGGGCAUAAAGCGCACGUAGGCGGCACCGCAAGUGUGGGGUGAAAUCCCACGGCUUACCCGUGGAACUGCCUGGCAGACUGCGGUGCUAGAGGUUGGUAGGGGAGAGCGGAACUCUUGGUGGAGCGGUGAAAUGCGUAGAUAUCAAGAGGAACACCUGCGGCGAAGGCGGGUUGCUGGGCCGACACUGACGCUGAUGCGCGAAAGCCAGGGGAGCGAACGGG
rnacentral:rRNA from 1 species